GACGAACGCUGGCGGCGUGCUUAACACAUGCAAGUCGAACGGAAAGGCCCUUCGGGGUACUCGAGUGGCGAACGGGUGAGUAACACGUGGGUGAUCUGCCCUGCACUUUGGGAUAAGCCUGGGAAACUGGGUCUAAUACCGAAUAGGACCACGCGCUUCAUGGUGUGUGGUGGAAAGCUUUUGCGGUGUGGGAUGGGCCCGCGGCCUAUCAGCUUGUUGGUGGGGUAAUGGCCUACCAAGGCGACGACGGGUAGCCGGCCUGAGAGGGUGACCGGCCACACUGGGACUGAGAGACGGCCCAGACUCGUACGGGAGGCAGCAGUGGGGAAUAUUGCACAAUGGGCGCAAGCCUGAUGCAGCGACGCCGCGUGAGGGAUGACGGCCUUCGGGUUGUAAACCUCUUUCAAUAGGGACGAAGCGCAAGUGACGGUACCUAUAGAAGAAGCACCGGCCAACUACGCG
rnacentral:rRNA from 1 species